rnacentral:rRNA from 1 species
AUACGUAGGGUGCAAGCGUUAAUCGGAAUUACUGGGCGUAAAGCGUGCGCAGGCGGUUUUGUAAGACAGAGGGGAAAUCCACCGGAUCACCCUCGGAACUGGCUUUGUGACUGCACAGCUUGAGGACAGGAGAGGGGGAUUCAAUUCCGCGUUAAGCAAUGAAAAGCGUAGAUAUGGGGAGGAACACCGAUGGCGAAGGCAAUCCCCUGGGCCUGUACUGACGCUCAUGCACGAAAGCGUGGGGAGCAAACAGGAUUAGAUACCCUGGUAGUCCACGCCCUAAACGAUGUCAACUGGUUGUUGGGUCUUCAUUGACUCAGUAACGAAGCUAACGCGUGAAGUUGACCGCCUGGGGAGUACGGCCGCAAGGUUGAAACUCAAAUGAAUUGACGGG